GACGUCUGCUCUUCCCAUCCGGCGCUCGUGGUAGGUGGAGCACGCAGACGCACACGCCCCUGGCCGCCCCUGUGCCUAGGGGCCGCAGGGUCCUGCUGCCCGCCGUUUCCCGGGAGCCGCCCCAAAUAAGCACCGCCGGGACCCCAGGUGAGCGCUCACCAGUGUCCUUCUCCAGCCCCGAGCCAAAACUUCGGGACAAAUGGCGUCGGGACCUGAGACAAACAACUAAAUAUUGGGACAGUCCCGAUGUUAUCGGGAUGUCUGGUCACCCUAGUAAUGACAGCUGCCGGGGCUUAAGCCAUUUUUUUUUUACAUUCAUAACUGAUGUAAUGCCAUGGCACAAAUUAAGCACUGUGCUGCUUCUGAAUUUGCCCCAAUGCCUUAAUCAGAGGCAGUGGAGUGUGUGGCAGAGCACAAGAACGGCCAGACUGGUCCAGACCAAUGGCCCAUCUAGCCCAGUAGCCUGUCUUCCGACAGUGGCCAGGGCCAGGUGCCCCAGAGGGAAUGAACAGAACUGGGCAACUCUUGAGCAAUCCGUCCUCUGUCAUCCACUCCCAGCUUCUGGCAAACAAAGGCUAGGGACAUUCAAAGCUAGUCUGCACUAGAAUUGCUACUAAUCAUUGGGGGCACAGAAUUCCUCCAGCCCAGGGGCCAUGGUGGCAGGGAAAGCAAGCUCCUCCUGGCUGCACGGAGGAGAGUGAGCUCCUGCCAGAGCCCGGACAGGGAGGGAGAGAGGGAAGAGCCAGGGGGGAGCACAGAAUGCGUAGCACCCAAAAUGAGGUCAGAGUUAAAUUUCUGCACACACCCCUGUCUGCGCCUGGCGAUAGCUUUGUCAGUGAGACAUGUCUCUCAUCAACAUAGCGUUGUCCACACCAGCACUUAGGCUGGUGUAACUUACAUCGCUCGGGGGGGUGUUUUUUUCACACCCCGAGCGACAUAUGUUAUUCCGACCUUAGUGCUAGUGUAUACAAACCCUCAGAGCAUGGGGGUGCAUCCCUGACCCUCUUGGCUAACAGCCAUUGUUGAACCUGUCCUUCAGGAACUUACCGACUUCAUUUUGAACCCUGUUAUAGUUUUGGCCCUCACAACAUCCCCUGGCAAUGAGUUCCACAGGUUGAGGGUGUGUUGUGAUAGCCAGAUCCCCUCUGCCUAUCCCACCCAGUUCUUUUCUUACACUAAGAAUCUCUGUACCUGGUAAGAAAGUUCAGACAUUUGUUAAGGGAUCCAGCCCAGUUUCCCCAGCCACAUAAUCCUCCUUCAGCACUGACUGUUGCCUCAUUUGGUUUACACCAUCUACCCAAAGUGGACCCUACUCUCUAAAACAUACACAAUCGUGAGAAGAACAAAUUCCUGGGAGAUUAUUGGAAGACCCUUAAAUGAGGACUGGGCCUACACAAUCACCUAGUCAUUUGUUAUUGUGACCUUUGUGUAUAUAUUUGCAAAUGAUGUUAACGCCAGCCCCCUGCAUUUAAAAAUUAGUCAGGUCUCCAAAAUCACAAGAUUAUUGGAAAUAAUCAUGAGAUGUUUUUAAACUAAAUCAUGGAUUGUUUUAUUAGUUUUCUGAGCCGCUGGGGGUUAUGUUUCCAGACUUUUCUCCAUAAGCCCAAGAGGUAGAAACUUAGGGCCAGGGGCGAAUUAAUGCACAGGUCCACCAGAAUCUGUGUGGAAGCCGGGGGGGCCACUAGUGCCUGCCCCUGCUCCACCUCUUCCUCCAAGGCCCCACCCCCCUGGCCAGGCCAGAAGCCAGACCCAGGCCAUGGUAAAGAGCCACCCAGGGAGUCAGGCCGCUGUGGGGCGCACCAGACCCGCCACCUGCCUUGUGGCGGAGGUUGGUGGGCCCAAGAGCCUAGCCCCCCAGCCUGUGUCCCCACUGUCCUGGGGUGCGCCGGCCAGAGUAGGUGGAAGUAGGGUGACCUGAUGUCCCAAUUUUAUAGGGACAGUCCAGAUUUUGGGGUCAUUUUCUUAUAUAGGCUCCUAUUACCCCCCAUCCCCGUCCCGAUUUUUCACAUUUGCUGUCUGGUCAGCCUACAGCAGCCUGAGUUCCCUGGAUGGCUCUUACCACGGGGCCUCGUGGAGGGAGGAGGAGCAGGGGGCGGAGCCCCGUGGCGAGGGAGCUGUGAGGGCGGGGUCCAAAUAUUCUUUGUGCCCAGGGCCCCAAUAAAUCUUAAUCUGCCUCUGCUUAGGGCUUGUACAUGCUACCACUUAUGUUGGCAUCACUUAUGUCACUCAGGGGUGUACACAAUUGCCAGCCCCUUGAGUGACGUAAGUUACACCAACCUAAGCCCCAGCGCGCACAGGGCUGCGUUGGCAGGAGCGCUUCUCCCGCCGAGGUGGGUUUAUUAUGCCGACGGGAGAGCGCUCUCCCAUCGGCAGAGAGCGUCUUCACCAGGCGCAAUGCGGCACCACGGCUGUGCAACGCUAGCCCUGAGCGAAAGCCGAGUUGCUCACAGGAUUCCAGGAGCUGGGACUUGCGAUCAAAUGAGGAGCCCAGGCAGCACCGAAAUUUUAGGGGAGCUUGGGAAAGUUGGGAGGGUGCUACGACUCAGGAGCUGUGCUGGUCAGCAUCAUCUGAUUACAUGGCAGAGGAUUAUAGGAUUGAUCCUUUAAUUGUUCUUUCUCAGCCAUCCUUUGUGGGGGGGUUGAACUUGUCUUUUAGCCUUGGCUUACUGAAUUGGCAAUUUUAUUACAUAACCUUCCACCCAUCAUUAUUAUAUGGCCAUGUUAUUGUGUAGGCUGUGAGCUUGCAUGCAAUUAAGCACACAAUUCAUGAUCAGCUACAAACAUACUUAUUGACUGCAAACUCUUUGGGGCUGAGACUGUCUCUCGCUCUGUGUCUGGGCAGCGCCCUCCACAACAGGGCCCUGAUCUCAGCUGGAGCCUUAAUCUCACUUUAUGACAUUAAGUAAUAAAUAAAAAUCUCGAAAGCAA